rnacentral:misc_RNA from 1 species
UCCCGUGCGAGCGUCGCAACGGUGAGGCGAUAGGAUCGCUUUUCCAGGCUCGGAUGUGUGGGCAGUCCCUUCACCAAACGCGCCAAGGCCUCCCGCAGCUUGCACUCCGUGUUGCGCAGGCGCUUCUCGUGAGGCGUGAGUGCCGGCAUCUUGCUGGUCUUAGGCGCCAUCUCGAUCGUCCUCGCUAUCGAGUUCUGUCAGGAUGCGAUCGCAUUCGAUGAUCCGCGUCUCAGCAAGCUUCCGGCUGACGUGGUCCAAGCCGGGCUGGUCGAGAAGACUGGCAUUGCGUGCGCGGCGCUCCUGCCAGACCGAUCGAUGCUUGGCCGUGACGGCAAAGUUGGCGCAGGUAAGGCACGUGCUUUCGGUUCUCAGCACGGGGUUCGGGCCGCGCUCGUCGCCGAGGCAGGCAGCCGUUUCGAUGCGGUAGACGCAAUAACCCCAGUCGCAGACCCCAAGGCGGAGGUCGGUCUCUUCCAUCAGGAAGCGGACAUAGGUCUGGACAUCGCCGUCUCGCGUGCGGCCGCGGAACCGGGAGCGAGCGGCAAUCAUCCGACCACCCUUGCCUCCGAGCGUCGUCGCCGUCAGCACCUCCUCCAGAGCGGCGCGGGUUUCUUCCUGAGCAUGCCGGUCGAUCAGGUCGUCGAGCGCGAAGUCGGUCCCGACAUAACCGCGAUCGGUCAUGGCGCGAGUCACGUGGCCGAAGUGCGCCUGAAGCGCAUGCAGCCCAGUGCGGUCGCGUCUGCCGACAAAGCGCGCGAAGGUCUUUCGGCCCUGAUGGGUGUUCAGAUGCCAGGGCUCGCCCUCGUGGUCCGGCAGCCGGAUGAACGGUGCGAACAGAUGAUUCAGCCGCCGUAUCAUUGUGGAGGCAGUGGGCAGGUUGAUGCGGGCGGCAGGACCAACCAGCCCCGUACUGGCCAUGAUCAGGAACAGAUCGGAUCG